AAAAUACAAGACAAAAUCCUACAAAAUGGCUUUUCAAACCAAUCAAUCUUAUCUUCUAAGUGCUUUAUGCAUUGUUUUGAUCAUGGGUUCAGGGUUGGUUACUAGUUUGACGGUUCCAGCUGGAACAGAAUGUAUAGGGCCUUGCACUGAUACUUGCGAUAGUGAUUGUAUUGCCAAGGGACAUCCAAAUGGUGGACUAUGUUAUAGUCGACUUGAAAAAGCCACUUGUUGUUGUUUAUAAAUUAAAUUAGCAAUUAUUGUAUCAUUAUGGUCAAAAUAAAUAAAAGAAUCACUUGAACUUGCAAUUUGA